rnacentral:misc_RNA from 1 species
UUUCCGUAGGUGAACCUGCGGAAGGAUCAUUAAUGAAAUGCACCCUCGGGGGGUCGUGCUGGCGCUCCGCCGCAAUGUUCACGCUCCCUCUGGUGUUCAGACCCUUUCACACUUGUGCACGAACCCGCCGGCCGCGAGUGAUCCCCUGCGCGCACACUGGUCUUGCCAUCCACAUCCGCUAUUUUCCGUCUGACGAUUCCAUCACUGUGUACGCCCAAUCGAAAUACAACUUUUAACACUGGACCUCUUGGUCCCCCCAUCUAUGAAGAACGUCGC